AUUCAGCCUGCAUUCCACGGAACCGCCCCAGACAGGCAUCUCGGGGACAUAUUUUAAGUGGAAGGCAACCAGCACCGCAUCUAAAGGAUGCCCUUUCUUCUGGAAUGCUAUAGAAGUCUAUGACUAGACAGACAAAGACACUCUGGCCUUGGGAAAAAUUGGAAAUCACCCAUUCAUUCGUUCAUUUUUCGACAAAUAUGUACUGAGAUCCUACUGCAUCCCAGGCAUCCCGCAAAGGAAUAAAGCAAAGGAGGCCCUGCCCUCAUGACCUCACAACCAGUCGCACACAGAUCGAACACGGAUAGAUCAUGGGAUGGAAUCUCCUAGCCAACUGAGAAUCACAGGCCCGUGCACUGUGGUAAUACAAGAUUGAAGGUUAAGCAAAGAAAAAGGCAGACACGCCAACCAAUUGCAGAAGUGGAUAGAAAAACAUUGCUACCAAAAAUGAAGACGAGGUUAUUCAGUCAUUGAUUCCCAUAAACCAUGCCGCUUGGAGCCACGCACAGGGGACAGCAUAGAAGCAAAUACAACGUACGGCGCUGAUCAGCACAUAAACACGUCGACUGUUACACUACCAUGGUCGGCAUGAGCAGGAAACGCAAAAGACCAAGCUUCUAUGACUUGGUCUGUUUUCCUGUAAGAAAUAAUUUAAGUCUCAGUUUCCUCAUCUCGACAUCGGGAAUAAUAAUACUUGCCCACAAGGCUUCGUUGCAGGCCUUAAAUAAGAUGAGAUUGAGCACAAGGAAAUUAAUGAUAUUAAAAGGUCUCACAGCAAGUAGUAGGCCUGAAAAGUACCGCUUUGCGAAAAAAGCAGGACGAACGCGUGUGUUCUGUAGACUGCCAUUAAACGUAAAUGUGCACAGAGACGUACAGAUCUACCGAUGUAAAGAGAGUGAGAGGGACUU